rnacentral:rRNA from 2 species
UACGUAGGCAGCGAGCGUUGUUCGGAGUUACUGGGCGUAAAGGGUGUGUAGGCGGUUCUCUAAGUUUGGUGUGAAAUCUCCCGGCUCAACCGGGAGGGUGCGCCGAAAACUGGAGGGCUAGAGUGCGGGAAGGGAGAGUAGAAUUCCUGGUGUAGCGGUGAAAUGCGUAGAUAUCAGGAGGAAUACCGGUGGUGCAGACGGCUCUCUGGACCGCGACUGACGCUGAGACACGAAAGCGUGGGUAGCAAACAGG